rnacentral:rRNA from 1 species
UGGCUCAGGAUGAACGCUAGCGGGAGGCCUAACACAUGCAAGCCGAGCGGUAUUGUUUCUUCGGAAAUGAGAGAGCGGCGUACGGGUGCGGAACACGUGUGCAACCUGCCUUUAUCAGGGGGAUAGCCUUUCGAAAGGAAGAUUAAUACCCCAUAAUAUAUUGAAUGGCAUCAUUUGAUAUUGAAAACUCCGGUGGAUAGAGAUGGGCACGCGCAAGAUUAGAUAGUUGGUAGGGUAACGGCCUACCAAGUCAGUGAUCUUUAGGGGGCCUGAGAGGGUGAUCCCCCACACUGGUACUGAGACACGGACCAGACUCCUACGGGAGGCAGCAGUGAGGAAUAUUGGACAAUGGGUGAGAGCCUGAUCCAGCCAUCCCGCGUGAAGGACGACGGCCCUAUGGGUUGUAAACUUCUUUUGUAUAGGGAUAAACCUAGAUACGUGUAUCUAGCUGAAGGUACUAUACGAAUAAGCACCGGCUAACUCCGUGCCAGCAGCCGCGGUAAUACGGAGGGUGCAAGCGUUAUCCGGAUUUAUUGGGUUUAAAGGGUCCGUAGGCGGAUCUGUAAGUCAGUGGUGAAAUCUCAUAGCUUAACUAUGAAACUGCCAUUGAUACUGCAGGUCUUGAGUAAGGUAGAAGUAGCUGGAAUAAGUAGUGUAGCGGUGAAAUGCAUAGAUAUUACUUAGAACACCAAUUGCGAAGGCAGGUUACUAUGUCUUAACUGACGCUGAUGGACGAAAGCGUGGGGAGCGAACAGGAUUAGAUACCCUGGUAGUCCACGCCGUAAACGAUGCUAACUCGUUUUUGGGUUUUCGGAUUCAGAGACUAAGCGAAAGUGAUAAGUUAGCCACCUGGGGAGUACGUUCGCAAGAAUGAAACUCAAAGGAAUUGACGGGGGCCCGCACAAGCGGUGGAUUAUGUGGUUUAAUUCGAUGAUACGCGAGGAACCUUACCAAGACUUAAAUGGGAAAUGACAGAUUUAGAAAUAGAUCCUUCUUCGGACAUUUUUCAAGGUGCUGCAUGGUUGUCGUCAGCUCGUGCCGUGAGGUGUUAGGUUAAGUCCUGCAACGAGCGCAACCCCUGUCACUAGUUGCCAUCAUUGAGUUGGGGACUCUAGUGAGACUGCCUACGCAAGUAGAGAGGAAGGUGGGGAUGACGUCAAAUCAUCACGGCCCUUACGUCUUGGGCCACACACGUAAUACAAUGGCCGGUACAGAGGGCAGCUACACAGCGAUGUGAUGCAAAUCUCGAAAGCCGGUCUCAGUUCGGAUUGGAGUCUGCAACUCGACUCUAUGAAGCUGGAAUCGCUAGUAAUCGCGCAUCAGCCAUGGCGCGGUGAAUACGUUCCCGGGCCUUGUACACACCGCCCGUCAAGCCAUGGAAGUCUGGGGUACCUGAAGUCGGUGACCGUAACAGGAGCUGCCUAGGGUAAAACAGGUAACUAGGGCUAAGUCG